rnacentral:lncRNA from 1 species
GAUGUCCUACCAGGGUUGGCCAAGGGCCACAAAGCAGGCUAAUAAAUUCCCACAGGAUCCAGACACCAGGCAAAAUUGCUCUAAGAAGCCAGUUACUGUCAUCCCUCUAUGGUUCUAGAAAAAAUAGUACAAAAAUGACAGGUCAUCCUAUGAGCGUCAUGCCAAUGAAACCCCAUCUUCUGGAGAAGCCCUUGAAUCAGAAUUAUCUUUUUUCUUGAUGUCGUCAGAUGCAGCCAGUUUCUUAAUUUUUUUAAAAACUGUAUGUUUCUGUGGUAUGUAUAUUUGUACACCUAACUACCUGGCACUUGGAAAUCACAGCACUACUCAGAGGCAAUUGAAUAAAGAGAAAUUUAAUUUUAAAUAUCAAGUCCUGUCAAACAUUUCUCAAACUUCUGAUUUUAUCAAAGGUUUGCCAGCCAAUAAAGUGCAUCCCAAGUAUACAGGGGAGAAAGCUAGACUCCUACAGGGUCCUAGAGUUUAAGUAAUUUUUUUGUUAUUAAUAUAGGUAAUAAUUUUUCUAAUUUUUAUUUUUUGGUUCCAAAUGUAAAGCUCCUUGUGUUUACCUCUGUUUAUGUCAUUCUUGACAUGUUUAUCUAAAUUAUGUGUGCUCUGUGACAGGUGAAAUGUAAAUCUGGGAUCCAUAGUCAAGAUAUCAUAAGGACCUACUUCCCAGCCUACCUUUCUUCCUCUACCUGAUAAUGAUAAUACUCAAAAUAACAACAUUCAAAGGAAACACAAAGAAAUCCUGCUUUCACAUCUCCUAUUUCUUGGGCUCCUUAAUAACUACUGAUGGUUUGUUCAUGAAAAAAAAUUUUUAAAUCAAAAGAUUGUACUUGGCCCUGAGUUGAAAAAAUUUCAAAAAUCAAAAGUUUGUACUUGGCCCUGAGUUGAAAAAAAAAAUUCACAUUCUAAGAAUAAACAGAAAAAUGUUCUUCUUGGAAGUAAAUAACAAAAGCCAUAGUGUUUUCAUUUGUCUUUUCUUCAGGAUACACGGUAGAAGUCAGAGAAUCUUUGAUACUUUUAUUUGGUGCAAUAAUCAAGGCCAUGCAACAACCCAAAAUCAAGCAUUUUGGUUCAAGUCAGGAUGACAUGAGUGGGGACAGAAGCUGUGGCAGUCAUUCAAAUAAUCUCAUGGGUCCUGAGGAAAAGACAGGAGUUAAUGUAUUAAGUUUCUACUAUAUGCAGGAACUGUGUUAAAUAUUUUACAUAAGUUUUGAUAAUAGCUAACAUUAGCUGAGCACAAAAUUUGGGCCCUGAUUUGUGCUGAGUAUCUUUCACAGAUUACUGCUUUUAAUCAGCAGUCCUUGUGAGCUAGGUAUGAUCAUUAUCCCCAUUUUAUAGAUUACAGAUGAGAUUCUGAGGCACAAAGAGGCUAAGUAACUUGCCAAAGAUCAUACGAUGUUAAGUAAUGGCCCCUGGAUUCAGUCUGCAGCCUGAAUUCUUAACCAAUUAUACUGUGAUUUCAUUAUUCUUCAGAAUUACACUAAAAAGAAGGUAUUAUUCCCAUUUUACAGAUGAGGUAUCUAAGCUCAGAGAAGCUAAACAACUUGUGCAACAAUCACUAAGCUUAUAAGCAGUGGAUUAGGGUUAGAUUUAGAUAUUUGUCUGGCAUCCAAACCUGUGCUCUCCCUACAGUACCACAUGGUUUCCACAGUCUCAUCAGACCCCGGAAUUUCACUCCCUGAGACUGCUUAAUUGUGAAUUUCCCAAACUGAUUCACCAAGAGCCUACUGUCUCUGCUUUGUAGAUAGCUUUGACCACAUUCAAUGACAUUAGGAAAGACUCCAUUUCCCAAGAUGGCUCAGAAAAUCAGAUGCUAUGACGCAUGUUGAAAGUGAAAACCCAUCUCUGAGAAAGAAGCAUCUGUUUUAUUAGUAAAAAAAAAAAAUGAAAUUUACAGCAAUGUUGUGUGACUUCUCAAAAUUCUUUCAUUUUCUUAUUUCAGAAUGAAUAGUGUUGUUCGUUGGCUGGGAAUGGGGAAGAAUGUGAUUUUUAAAAAUAAAGCAUAAUCAAACUCUGCAUAAAA